UUUCUGAUAACAGUUCAUUCAGUCGUGUUAACACUGUAAUGCAAUUACGCUGUCAAAUAAAUGCGUCUCAUCCUAUGAACUCAUGUAUCUGAUUAUGCUUUGACAAAUGUUACCGAUUUGUGAAACAAUAAAUGACUACUUUACACCGGUUAAAUGUGGACGUAUCUCUUGUGAAGUGGUUUAAAUUUAUAUUAUCAAUGUUAGUGUUUAACAAUAAAAUCAACGUGUGGACUAACUGGGUCUCGUUUGUAAUUUGCAACGUGCGCCUCUGGUAGAUUUAAACCUGCGUUUGUUAUUGGAAGUAAUCUUUACUCGAUUGUGAAAGUAUUCAAUCAAUAGGUAAAGUGCGAUGUGAAUAUUCUUGAACGUAUUGAACCACCCUUCUGUUCACAUACCAAGUGUUGAUUUUGCUGUGCCAAGUAAAAGGUAACGGCGAAAAAACAAAGGAUGUUCACUCAAAUUCCAAAAAGCUGGCGUCACAAUUUUAAUGAGAACGUCACGUUACGGGAGUUAAACGACGCUUUAGUGACGUUACAUGUUCCGGCAAUUGUUAUUAUUAUGACAUUAUUGGUUAUAGGGGUAAUCGGCAACAUAACCGUCUUACGUAUCUAUUUCCCGUAUCCCAAAUCAUUUUCCCGGGUGUUUAUUUUAUGGCUCGGUUUCAUAGACCUAAUAGCGUGUUGUUUAGGAAAGCCAUUUCUGCUCAUGAGCCUCUAUCACCCGUACGAAUUUCCAUCAGUUGGUGCGUGCAAGACGUUCCGAUUUGUUCACGUGUUUCUCGUCGCGGCCGCCGUAUUUAUAUUUGUCUGUAUUGCAGCUGAAAGACAUCGCGCCAUAUGUAAUUUCCAUGUGGUGGAAAUGAAAACGGCCCGGAUACACAAGAUGUGUCUGAUAUCGUGCAUGCUUGCAAUCGUUGUCGCCAUCCCAGCAAUAUUUGUGUACGGUGAGAGGACCGUGAAAACUGGAGUGUUUAAUAUCACAGGCAUAGAGUGUUUUGUGGAGGACCAUUUUGAAGAAACCAACUCAGUAUGGCCGAAAGUGUUUUAUCUGCUCCAGUUCGCGAUCUGUUUAAUAGCGUUUGUUAUCAUGGUGAUUUUGUACGUUAGAAUUGGGCUACAAUUGAAGUGGCAUCUAAGAUUUUCAAAAUCAUACACUCGUGCCACAUCAAACGUGCGUUCUUCUUAUUCGAACGAAUUGGAAUUAAACUCUACACAAGUACCCAGGGUAACGUCAAAAACAGAAAGUCUUCUAAAGACAUCAACUUCAGAGGACGGCGAACACUAUUGUGCAAACGCGCCUAAACAGUCACAGAAAGCGUGGGAAGGAGCAAGGGAGUGAAAUCCAUUCAGUUCCACAAAUUGUCUAUGAAGUCGAAAAAGACAACCUAGCCAUGUAUUCUGCGAUCCCAAAAGUCUGGCGGGAGGAUUUUCGGGAAAAUGUGACACUCGCAGAGCUGAACAACUCUCUGGUGGAUCUCAACAUCCCCUCCAUCAUAUACGUCGCUAUCCUCAUGGUUGUCGGCGUGUUGGGUAACAUCCUCGUCGUCUACAUCUAUACCAUCAAGUACUCACCUUCCACAUACCGCUCGUUUAUUUUAUGUCUGGGAUGGAUAGACCUCAUAGCUUGCACUGUUGGGAUGCCUCUUUUGAUAUACAGUUUGAUGUGUCCGUACGUGUUCCCAUCCGAGGCAGCGUGCAAGACGCUCAGAUGUUUACACAUGUUUUUCGUUAUGUCUUCAGCUUUUAUCGUCUUAGGAAUUGCAAAAGAACGCCACCAGAGAAUCCGUUACCCGUUGUCAACACAAAUAACUCCGACCAAGAUUAAAAUAAUGUGCAGUUUGUGUGUAGCUCUUUGAUGUCUUGUUGCUUUACCCGCCAUAUUUGUGUACGGUGAUGCAUUGGUUAGUUUAAACCUAUUUAUUUUAGCUCAAUUGCAUCGAAAGCCUAAGGCUUAUAUAAACGCUCUCGAGUCCGUUUCCUGGGCCUAGAACCAGUACUUGGUGUCUUUGGGGGAGAUCUAAAGAACGCUGUCACGGUGGGGAUCGAACCCGUGACCUCCCGGUUGCUAGGCGGACACCAUAUCCAUUACACCACGGCGACCUAUUGGUUGCAUUGGUUGACACAGGGGUUCACGGAGUUAAUGGAACCGAAUGUUUUAUUGACCCAACGAUGCAAGAUUCGAACUUUCCACAAGGUUAUUUUGUAGUCCAGUUAUUGCUGUGCGUAAUCUCCAUGGUGAUUAUGGGGAUAGUCUACUUUCGGAUUGGAUGGACGAUAAUGCAUCAUCAUGGGUUUAUUCGUGAAAAUACAUUCAGCGGCACGCAUGGCAACACGAAUAUCAAAACAGAGUCUCGUAAGUCUUACCAUCUGUCUUAAGUUAAAAUACAAAUUAGUGUUGGUUGUAAAAAAUAACAGCAUAAUUUUAAUUUCAUGAAAAUCAAUGUCAAAUCUACCAAACGGUUAACAAAACUGUCACUUUCAAUUUCUGAAGCGCGCUAGUUAUGUGUGUGUGUUUACAACUAGAUGGUCUGUGUGUGUUUAUAUAAAUUAUGAUCAAAGCCGCUUAUAUGCUGACUUAAAUGUAUCAGUCAUUAAGUUGGUUUCGCUCUUUAAAUCAGUGCUAUCAAGUAUAUGUAUCCAUAUUGUGAUAAUGUAUUCUCAUUAUAUCAUUUUAAAAUGCAUUUGGGAUCUUUGAGAAGGAACAAAUAGGGCAACAUGGAUCGUAUUAAUGUCAAACAUGUACAGAAGCCAAUUAGUAUUCAACCAGACAAUUUUCGCAGCCCUUUUAACCAUUGCUGAUAUCAUUUCGCAAUCUUUUUUUUAAUUAGACCUUUUAAAUGAAUUAUGAGCUCAUAAACCUAUGUAAGUAAUUGGCGUUUAUUAUUUAUAUGCGUUAUAUGUCAAAUGCCUCGAAUUUGUUUUGCCUUGAUGGAUAAUGGAUACAUGUAUAAAAAAAACAUUAAUGGCUAGCUUUAGAAUUUCAUUGAUGCCAAUGCAAUGUUUGUGCUAAGUCCGGAACGUCUAAAUACAAUAACUGACGCGACAGAUAACGAUACAAUACAAACGUCAGUGAUAGAUUCAUGUGACCAAUACGUACGUAAUACAGCGGUCUCAUCACAACUGUGCUUACAUGUUGUUGAAUGUUAAACAUGCUAUUGCUGAUAUAUUGUGUUACAAGAUUGUUAUUGCGCUGUACACAUAUUAUAACGGUCUGCAUUGAAUGUUAUGCAUCUCAUUAUAGUAUUCAUAUUACACACUUCAUGUUAGUAUAGUCUUGGUAAAAGCAGCGGACUAUUCCAUAUAAAUAAAUGUAAGAGAUGUGUUAAAUAAGGCAUUCAUUUAUUUAAAGCACGUGUUUCGGCCGUUUUGAGAAAUAUAUCUAUUAUUAGAAAUUUUAAUUCCAACUUUCCAAAAGUGAAAUAUAGUUAUUAACUCAGAUCAAUGGCUUAGUGUUGAUUGCAUUGUUUGUUAUCUUUUGUUAGAACAUAAUCAAUAGUUAAUUAAAGCUGUUACAUACACAUCUUUUGUAUACUGUAUUCAAAGCAAUAUGUUGAGCCAUGUGCACUGUUUUCGUAUGUGUGCUGUAGAAGAUAUGUAUAUGAUAUUCUUGUGUCAGAGAAAAAUGUGUUUGCUAUAUAUUUUAUUAAUAAAAAUUCAUUAACAUUGUAUUCAUUCAAUUUAAAAUGUAAAUUCAAAUAAAUUUCCUACCUAAAAGAUCUGUACCAUUAAUAAAUGUAAUAUAUAAUAUGCCUCAAUCACAAUUAAGUGGUUAAAUAUGGUUGUGGACUCGUGGUAAUGGUAUCCUGACGUAACCCUUGCCCAAAUCAGCAUGAACUUGAAUUAACCGUUUCAAAUGAAGCAUAAUUAUUCCUUUGGGGGUUUGUGGACUCGUGGUAAUGGUAUCCUGACGUUACCCUUGUCUCUGCUAUGUCUCUGUUUUGUCUUGUUGAUCUUUCUAAUCUAUGGUUGCUGCGCAUGAUGUUUUUUUAUGUAGUACUUAUAGUUCAAGUUUUAGAUUUUAUUGUUUCAUUAUUUGUCUUAUAGCUAUACACAUAGGGUAGUUUUAUAGUGUCUUGUUGAUCUUUCUAAAAUAUGGUUACUGUGCAUGUUUUUUCGUAGUAUUUAUAGCAUAGGUAUAAUAGAGUAGAUUUGAUCGAUUCUUUUGAAACAGUGUUGCAAAAUGUAUUCGUAUCUGCGAUACGUUAAAUGUUCUUAUGUAAAGCGCCUUUGAACGUGCACUCUUGCAUGAAAAGGGCGCUAUAUAAAUCCGGUAUAAUAAUAAUUAAAAAUUAAGAUGCAUCUAUAAUUAUCUUUUGUGUUAGUCGAAUGGUAUAUAAUUAAAUAGUUUUGAAAAAUA